AAGAAAAAAAAAAAAAAAACUUAGAUGCUUUGGUUUACAUCACAAUUCAAGAAAAGAAUUUUAUCAUUUCACUCUUUGCUUUCUAGGGUUUGUUUUUGUUCAGAGGUGACAUUUAAUGCUUCAUUGAAUGAUGUGUUGGGGUGUCUGUUGAAAUUAAUUGUGAAGUUUGGAGUGCUAUCAUGAAAUCUUUAUGUGAAGGUAAAUUGCUAUGCCUUGUCUUUUGUGGUAUGCGCUUUGGACUCUAAUCAUGAUGGGUCCAAGUUCGAGCCCUACCCUCCCGUCAUCCAGCGGGUUUGGGAUAGGAUGUAAUAAUCAUUUUUAAAGGAACUUAUCAACACAGAACCUCAUUCUCCCUGAAAUAAAUUCUCUGUCUGUGAUGAUGUCAAUCUGACAGUGAAGAUCCAUUGCUGACACAUUGGCUUUGACAGCAGCUCUAGAACUUCUCUUUUAAGUUUGUUUCUCUUAUUUUCUUAUUUAAUUGAAACAUUUUUUUUUGUUUUUUUUUG